rnacentral:rRNA from 1 species
AGCAGCCGCGGUAAUUCCAGCUCCAAUAGCGUAUAUUAAAGUUGUUGCAGUUAAAAAGCUCGUAGUUGAAUUUCGGGGUUAGUAGGUUGGUCAUGCCUCUGGUAUGUACUGGUCUCACUGAUUCCUCCUUCCUGAUGAACCUUAAUGCCAUUAAUUUGGUGUUUUGGGGAAUUUGGACUGUUACUUUGAAAAAAUUAGAGUGUUUAAAGCAAGCUAACGCUUGAAUACAUUAGCAUGGAAUAAUGAAAUAGGACGUUCGAUCCUAUUUUGUUGGUUUCUAGGAUUGACGUAAUGAUUAAUAGGGAUAGUUGGGGGGCAUUAGUAUUCAAUUGUCAGAGGUGAAAUUCUUGGAUUUAUUGAAGACUAACUACUGCGAAAGCAUUUGCCAAGGAUGUUUUCAUUAAUCAAGAACGAAAGUUAGGGGAUCGAAGACGAUCAGAUACCGUCGUAGUCUUAACCAUAAACUAUGCCGACUAGGGAUCGGGUGAUGUUAAUUUUUAAUGUACUACUAUUCGGCGCCGUUACGGGAAACCUAAAGGUUGUUUAGGGUU